UGCGUUAAAGCGAAAGUCUAUACAGAUUUCAUGCCCCUUGUCUAUACAAAUUUAUCUGCCGUAAACCGUCUGACAGAACGAUUUUCAGCAAAACAUCAGGAAAAUGGCCGCCAGCCGAUGUUUUCAACUAGACGAGUAUGAAAGGGAAUACAGUGUUAGAUAUCAUCGAGGAUAUGUGACCAAAGGGUUUCAGAAGUCUUGAGAGAUGUAUGUAGAUCAAACCCAUCAAGUACGCCAACACCAUGUCUACAAGGUCAUACCUCUAGAACCUCUCACACCUCUACAGCUGAAGACAAAUCUAAAAGUGGACAGAGGGAUAGUAUGAAUGCUUCAGUGAAAUUAAGGAGCUCAGGUUCUAACAAGCGUAGUAGAGCAGUGCAACACAGAGGUACUCCAAUGUGCAAUUUUACAAGUUUUUCCAGACAGUGAUUACAGCGAGGCUUGAAGACUACUGUACACAAUUUCUCAACAAAUCCAAAAACAAAGCCGUGUAACAUUCAACUAAGUGAUUCAAAGAAAACCAAACUACAAACAAGAAAGGGUCGAUUGAAUGGAGUGACAUUUUUACCCUGAAGCGUCCUAUUAAGAUAAAGAGAAUCUAGUCGUUUGUGCCACGGCACAAAAUUAUCAGACACAUAAAUAACAUUCAAGUAGUUAUGCAUUUACACGGAGGAUAUGACAUAAUUGUAUUUUCAUAUUGAAUUUAUCAUAUAAGUUGCCAGUUGAUCGAACCACACACUUAAUUGCCAACAUGGUUGGAAGGGUCUUAUUGUCCAAGCUGCAAAGAGUGUAUACCCUUAUAAACUAGCUGGCACAGUUUUGUGUCAGUCUGUGCUGGUUGCAAAUUAAAUCCAAUACUUUCAUAGAAUUAUAUGUUUUUAUUUAAUGUUUAUAGCAUCAAUAAAUUGAUAAUCUGAAAACAUAUUGCAAGUCAGGUUUUCAAGUAAAAUCCUAAUUAACUUUUAGAACAUUUUGCAUAAAGUAAGGUGAUAUCUCUAAGUUGUCAAAGAAAAGCUUUUUGCAGCUCUUUAUAAUUAAACAUGGCAUGGCACUUGUAUCUAUAGCUUUGUUCACCAUCCAAGUUAUACAUGUACUCAAAUUUUGUGACGUUUUUAGCUCACCUGUCACAAAGUGACAGGGUGAGCUUUUGUGAUCACUUUUCGUCCGGCGUCCGUAAACUUUUACUUUAAAUGACAUCUCCUCAUAAACCACUAAUCCAAUUUCAUCCAAACUUCACAGGAAUGUUCCUUUGGUGGUCACCUUUAAAAAUUGUUCAAAGAAUUAAAUUCCAUGCAGAACUCUGGUUGCCAUGGCAACCGAAAGAAAAAACUUUAAAUAUCUUCUUUUAAAAAACAAUAAGAGCUAGAGCUUAGAUAUUUGGCAUGAAACAUCUUCUAGUGAGUGUCUGCUAAGUUUGUUCAAAUAAAAGCCCUGGGGUCAAAAUUGGCCCCGCCCGGGGGGUCAUUGAUUUUCCCUAUAUGCAUAUAGUAAAAACUUAAAAAUCUUCUUUUAAAGAACCCAAAGAGCUAGAGCUAAGAUAUUUAGCAUGAAACAUGUUCUAAUGGGUGUCUACUAAGUUUGUGCAAAUAAAAGCCCUUGGGUUAAAUUGGCCCCGCCCCAGGGGGUCAUUGAUUUUCCCUAUAUGCAUAUAGUAAAAACUUAAACAAAUCUUCUUUUAAAAAGCCCAAUGAGCUAGAGCUUAGAUGUUUAGCAUGAAGCAUCUUCUUAUGGGUGUCUACUAAGUUUGUGCAAAUAAAAGCCCUUGGGUUAAAUUGGCCCUGCAACGUUGCGGGGGGGGGGGGGCUAUAUACAGGUGAGCGACCUCAGGGCUAUCAUGGCCCUCUUGUUUAAUAUAUUUUUUCCCCAUAUUCCUAGUACAGUAAUUUGUUACAAUUAACUUACAUUUCUCUUUCCUCUAUCAUUCUUAGUUUUUGUAUUUAAUAUUUUCCAAGUGGUAAAUAAAAACAAUAAAAUUUCACAAUUAUUUAUAAUAUUUUAUUUACUUGUGUAUUUCAUGCAAUGAGGCUAAAAAUGUAAAAAAAAGUAAUUUUUGAAGAAUUUUUUUUUUUAAAGUUAGACCAGUGUUGCUUCAGCCAUCAAUAUGUUAACUUGUCAUGUAGUAUGUACACAAACAUACUGGGAGAAGAAACAGAUGUUUGGCUUAAUGAAAGUACAAAAUGUUUUUGCUUAUCGUUUUCCAAUGAGUAGUUACAAUGUACAAGGUUAAAUUACUUUUUUGGAUGAUGUUCUUUUCUGUGGAAAGACCAGGUGUUGCUUCACAAUUGUUUUUUUUUUCCUCAUUAAUAUCAUUAAAUGUAAUUUCCAUUUUUGGCUUUUCGCUUGAUAUAUUGAUGUCCUGUGUGAGCAUCUAUUAGCAAUACAUGUAUCAAUGAGUGUCAUGAGUUACUUUUAAGACCAUAAAGUACAAAAUAAAACUAUAUUACAGCUG